rnacentral:tRNA from 1 species
CUAAAGGUAGCUCAGUCUGGGAGAGCGCAGCAUUCAGUUUGCUGAUGUCGCAGGUUCGACUCCUGCCCUUUGUA